CUGUGGUGCAUUGUAGUUGCAUUGCAUGAUCCUGAACCUGAGUGCAAUGUAUCUGCAGUGCAGCACAG
rnacentral:pre_miRNA from 13 species